AAUCCCUCUAAAGCCCAUUAAACCCUAAAAUCAGCAUGAAUCCCUCUAAAGCCCAUUAAACCCUAAAAUCAGCAUGAAUCCCUCUAAAUGUAACAGUUACAGUAUAAAACAUAACAGACUAAGGCAAUGGAUGACGUCAUCACAUUAAAAGACAUAGUGACUUUAACUCUCAUACAAACUUUGGUCAUUUUUAAUAAAAAACAAUUCGGCAAAAGUUUGUUUUAAGUUUGUUUUUUAAAGUAGCAUUUACAAAGAAAAUGUCUUCUGUACUUUUAUAUAAGAGAAACAUUGAUAAAUAUAAAGCAACGUGCCUAGCCUUUACACACGGCUGCAUUGGGAUGACACAGGACAUAAAGGACACACAGAGAGAGGGAUUAAAAAGUCAAGUGCUGCUUUUAAAGUCACUAAGGAGGGGAAAGGGAGAUUCUUUAGGGUGUAUAUCCCAAAUCGCAUUCCCUGUUGCCAAUAUAGUGCACUACUUUUGACCAGAGCCCCAUAGGACCUAUAGUAGUGCACUAUAUAGGGGUUAGGGAUGCCAAUUAGGAGGCAAGGCUAUGAUUGACGUGCUCUGACUGUACAUGAUGAGAGAAACAGAGAAAGUCCUCCCUGAUGAAUCGCAUGGACUAGUGGGUUAAAAAUACAUCAUAUUCAAUACUGUGUCUUCCCCUUAGGCUUCCUGACGUCCAGGUUCAUCACUACAGAGGGGAUGAGAGGAAUAUUCAAUACUGUCUCUCUCCCUUAGUCUUCCUGACGUCCAGGUUCAUCACUACGGAGGGGAUGAGAGGAAUAUUCAAUACUGUCUCUCUCCCUUAGGCUUCCUGACCGUCCAGGUUCAUCACUACAGAGGGGAUGAGAGGAGUAGGUCUGCAUAGCCAGGUCUGAAGACCGCACAAACAGAUCUGGGACCAGGCUAUGGUCAUCAAGCAUCGAUGCUGGAUCUAGGCUGGGGUUUGGGAAAUGUAUGAAAUUAGAGACUUUCAUGGAUCUGAUAAUCUCAUGGCCUGGGUCCC
rnacentral:lncRNA from 1 species